UUUCCGUAGGUGAACCUGCGGAAGGAUCAUUAUUGUAUAAUCGAGGUGCGAGGUCUUUCGCUGAUACGCACCUUCUUGCACGCCCGAGUGCCCUCCUACAUAACCAUCUCACCCCUACGUGCUCCACUGCAGCGGUCCCCCUUAAACGUAUUCUGAAGGGGGCUUACGUAUUCACACAGCCUUAAUGUGCAGCGUAGCAUGUAUUUUGUUUUUUUGCGAUACCGCACGCACAACAACUUUCAACAACUGAUCUCUCGCCUCUCUCAUCGAUGCAGAGCG
rnacentral:misc_RNA from 1 species